GAUGAACGCUGGCGGCGUGCCUAAUACAUGCAAGUCGAGCGAACGGACGAGAAGCUUGCUUCUCUGAUGUUAGCGGCGGACGGGUGAGUAACACGUGGAUAACCUACCUAUAAGACUGGGAUAACUUCGGGAAACCGGAGCUAAUACCGGAUGAUAUUUUGAACCGCAUGGUUCAAAAGUGAAAGACGGUCUUGCUGUCACUUAUAGAUGGAUCCGCGCUGCAUUAGCUAGUUGGUAAGGUAACGGCUUACCAAGGCAACGAUGCAUAGCCGACCUGAGAGGGUGAUCGGCCACACUGGAACUGAGACACGGUCCAGACUCCUACGGGAGGCAGCAGUAGGGAAUCUUCCGCAAUGGGCGAAAGCCUGACGGAGCAACGCCGCAUGAGUGAUGAAGGUCUUCGGAUCGUAAAACUCUGUUAUUAGGGAAGAACAUAUGUGUAAGUAACUGUGCACAUCUUGACGGUACCUAAUCAGAAAGCCACGGCUAGCUACGUG
rnacentral:rRNA from 1 species